rnacentral:rRNA from 1 species
GAUGAACGCUGGCGGCGUGCCUAAUACAUGCAAGUCGAGCGAACGGACGAGAAGCUUGCUUCUCUGAUGUUAGCGGCGGACGGGUGAGUAACACGUGGAUAACCUACCUAUAAGACUGGGAUAACUUCGGGAACCCUAACCUAAAACCGGAUAUUAUUUUGAACGGCAUGGUUCAAAAGUGAAAGAGGGCCUUGCUGUCACUUAUAGAUGGAUCCGCCCUGCAUUAGCUAGUUGGUAAGGUAACGGCUUACCAAGGCAACGAUGCAUAGCCGACCUGAGAGGGUGAUCGGCCACACUGGAACUGAGACACGGUCCAGACUCCUACGGGAGGCAGCAGUAGGGAAUCUUCCGCAAUGGGCGAAAGCCUGACGGAGCAACGCCGCGUGAGUGAUGAAGGUCUUCGGAUCGUAAAACUCUGUUAUUAGGGAAGAACAUAUGUGUAAGUAACUGUGCACAUCUUGACGGUACCUAAUCAGAAAGCCACGGCUAACUACGUG